CAUAUUCACACCACAUGACGGCAAUGAUGGAGCAGUAGCCAAAACAAAAGGAGGACCCCCGAUGAUGGUGAUCAAGAAGUGCAGAGAAGACGGCCAUACCACAUACUGUAUGUGUUUAUUCAUUCCGGUCCAUGAACACAUUUAGGAUGGAAGACUCUCCUUAGAGCCAGGCAGCCUCUCAGAGACCCCUACAGUACAGUAUGUGGACAACGCUCA